CAGGGCGGCGAUGUCCACGUGCUGGACGGAGGAGGUGGCGAGAGACGCGGCGGGAACGGAUCGGGAAAGGUAUUUCCUAUCCUUUCCUUCCUGUCAUAUUGGCGUCAGACACAACGCAGCUUGUUUCGGAGUGCCGGUGGAUGCUGAAGUGUACGUGUGUGAAUCUCAUAAACAUUGUUUGGGGUUUUCCUUAAAACACGUGUCUGGUGACUCUGUGGCAGAGAGCUCAGGCUGUAAUUCACCAAAAGCUCCAAACACGCAUGUUUUCUAAGAACCUCUGUGUGAUGAUCAUCACUAUAAUUUGACUGGAUAUGAGUCACCCCCUAAAAUGUACAUGAACAGAUAUGAAAAUAAAAGCAGCAUCUCUGAACUUA